AAAUCAUAUUUAUCUGAGAUUAUGUCAAAUUUCAGUGAUCGGAAAUGUCUUGCCCAAGAGCCAUUCCUGCUGGAAAAAGUCAAAAGGGUUCCUGGCAUUAAAACGACCUUGCGUCAUUCCUGAUGAAAUUAGCAGAGCUGCUUGUUUUAGAGCUUUGCUAAGGAUGCACUUUGGUCACAGUAAGAAGUAAGAGAUUUGGGGUUUUACCCCACGUCUGAGCAGGAUCCGUCUGCUUUCACUAGCUUAAAGCCUGAGACCAGCACUUGAAAGCGCCUUAGACCCGCAGUCCAUUUUUCACUUGUCUUUAAGCGCAAGCGAUGGGAAUUGCUAACCUCGGCUAAGAAAAUUUCAUUUUCCCCAUCCUGCUAAACGGUUCUGGUCGACAUAUGUUUGUUAUCAGAGAGAGGUGCUAUGAACACAGAGCCAUUUUCUUAGCAGCUCUUUGACUCUGUGUUACCAUAGUCCCACACGGCAUUGGUCCUUUCCCGUUGGGAAGUCAUGAAUAAGAGACUAUGAAGCUUGCACGUCAGAUCUUCCUCAAUUAAUCCACCAUUAGCAUGUUCGGGAUCCUCUACUGGAUGGUUAACAGCAGCUUUGGUAACUGUAUGCUGUCCAUACCCAAUUAUGCUCUGCUAAAAAUGAACUCUGCAGAACAACCUUCCUGAGCUGUCAGUGUCUCCCGUUUUCCUAUUUUAACGCUUGUGUGUAGUGGCAGGCGACAGAUGGUGUAGAUCAGAUCGAUUUGAUUGCAUUAGGCGAUUUUUUUUCCUCCUCUCCCCCCCGACUCCUUUUCUGGAAGCCCACAUUCAUCUGAGAGGCGAUCGCCGGGGACAUGGGAAGCAAGAGCAGCCGCCGAUGUGUGAAAGCAACGAGACAUGGCCAGCCAGAGGCGCCGGGGUCCCUUCACGGGGUUUGUUAACAUGGUAAUCCGGCACCAGGAGAGAAAGCUGCUUUCUGCUGCCCAGAGCCCAUUCCCCAUCACACAUCAGAUGACUCCCUGGCUUUACACACAGUUGGAGUUCUGCUCGAAACCUGGCUUUAAAGGGAAUCUGUUGCUGCGUAUGACAUCUCUUGCAAGCUCCCAGAGAGAAUUGAUGGAGCAUACAGCUAGGGAAUAGGAUACCAGAGAAGCACAGAGGAAGAAACCAGGCAAUCACCAGGAUGGGAAGGUUCAGCGUCCACUGGAUAUGGGACAAGAUCACUCGGCAACCCUUGUGGAUUCUCCUUCUUCUAGAGGCGAAUUAUAGUUAUGGAUUUAUUGUCCCGGUGCAGCACUUCCACCAGCAGCAGCAGCAACAGCAGCAGCUUUCUGACUCUCUUCGGUGACGGGUAUUCUUGGGUGGAUAAUACGGAUUACGUUGUUAUUGCUUAAGAAUACGCGUAGUCGAGGAGAGUACCGGCGGCGGGCAGGCAGGCAGGCAGCGCGACCGCCCCCAGCCCACCAGCUGGCUCCUCACCUCCUCUAGUUGCCAAGGUAGCACCUUUUCCAUCUUUUCCUACGCUUUGCAAUGUUUCAUUCUGUGUCUCUGCCCGGGCGGGGGGAGCUCGAACGCCCUGUCUCUUGUGGAGGGGGGUGCCCGGUGUGUGUGUGUGCGUGGGAGCAAGCCCAGAGCUGGGGAGGGCCGCGGCAAGGCUGGCCAAGCCCCUCGGCAGAGGGUGGCCGGGGGAGCCACGGCCGCUGCGGGCUGCGCCUUCGGGGACAGCGCUCUUUAGACUGCGCCGGGGCCGGGGCAAGGCUCUCGCCCCGUCCGGGCAGCCCCGGUACCCCGGCACUCGGUCGGCAGCCCCCAGCCCGCUCCGUCCGCGGCCCCUCGCCCCUCUCCGGCAUGGAGCGCGGAUGGGGGAACCGAGGCGGCCGGCGUCGCCUGCCAGGGGUCCCUCCCACCGGGACACGGAGUGCCCGCGGGGCCGGGGCGGCCCCGGCUCCGUCCGCACCCGCCGGUAGAGCCCGGGCUGCCGCCCCCCUGGCCGUCAUGGCCCCCGCGCCCGCAGCAGCCGAGUCGUGCGGGGCUGGGGGUGCCCGCGGGCGGGGAGAUGCCGAGCACCUCGUGCUAGCGAGGCCGGGGACACCCCGCACGGGCGCAGAACGCCCGACGCCCGGGGAAGCCCGUCUUCCCAGGCUGCGGAGGGGUUCGGCCAUCCAGCGGGGCCGCUCCUGGGGAGCAGCUUGAGGCCGGUUGCUUUCAAUGAGAGCGAUGCCCCUCUUGCUCUCUUAUCCUCACCCUGCAACCUGGUGAGGGCAGGAUUAAGAAUCCACCUUCACACCAGCUCCCGCCCAGAAGAGCUUGUCAGCAUCUGAGGCCCCAGGUUGAGACACGUGUUCAGGGCCAGAGCUGAGGGGAUUUUUCCCUUCUGCAGCUCAGGUGGUGGCUUAUUUGUGCCCUUUCGAAGAGCUCAGGACUCCCCAAAUGUUACUUGCAGCUGAAAGGGUGGGAGACACAACUAAGGGAGCGUUGAUUCCCAUAACUGGCCAAGACAUGCCCCAUUGCUUUAACAUAGAUGAAGUGCAUCUGUCCCACUCUCCAAUCUCAGCAGCAGGGCACAGGCUUUGGUUAAAAGCCUGAUCAGUCUGUCAGAUGUUGUGCUUAGGAAAGUCCAGGCAUAGCAUUCGUAGUUCCAGUCUUUUUUCCCCUACUCAUCUGCCCACAAGCCUGGCAGAGAAAAGGAGCAGGGUGUGAUCAUCCCUGUGUUUUGCCAUUCAAGACCUCUCCACAUGCCCAUAUGAUCCCAGGUCUUGUUGCUACGUAGUCACAAUUGUGAGACCAGAUUUCAGCCUUAAGUGAAUUAGAUCAGAAGCCAUUUUAAAGCAAGAUCUGGAAUCCUGUGAUAAGACAGCCUGUUUGAAUGGAUCCUUCCCCAACCUCAGCUAUGAUGGGGCUAGGAAUUAUUUUUAAUGUGGACGAGCCAGGCGUGGGGUGAUCGUUGAGAGUGCGAGGUGGGAUGAUGGAGAAUGUCUUUCUCUCUGUCUCUUGCUUAGAGAUUGAAAGACUGUCUAUGUUCUACUUAAUAAUUUCCAACAACUGCCAAAGGAAUCUUAGUCUGUUGCCUUUAGUAGUGAGUGGAGUGCUCGUUGUAACAGACAUGCAGAUCUGUUAUUCUUUAGACACAUCUUUGAUGCUAGCACUCUGAUCCUUGUGUUUCUCUAAUACCACUUGAAAGCAGAUUUUUUUUCUUGUAGUUUAGUAUGUUCAACAGCCUCAGAAAUAAUGUUAAAUUAUGCUUUAAAAAGACACGAUCAGCUGCUAAAUCAUAGUCAGUUCAGCACCAUAACACAACCACAUUCACAAGUGCUGCAGGAACAGCGAUGGAAACACUAUUUUAAACAUCCAGGUUUGUAUUACAAACCUUCCUCUGGUCAGAGCUUUUAGCUGACAUCUUCCCUUGAGUCAUGACUUAGACUAUUAUUAGGAGUUCCCAUUUCAUCACAUAAUGGACGUGGAUUUGUUUGCUCUUUGCUUGGUUGAGUACCUUGUGUAGUAUGCAUUGGACUAGUACCCAUAAAUACAAGCUUAGCAAAUGGUUCUUUAUACUUGGUUUCUUCUAGUUGCUUUCUGUAAAGCAUGAUGAGAUGGUUUUGCUGAAUAAUGCCUUAAUGACAGGGCUGAUGCAUUUUUAAUGCAUGUAUUCUUUGUCAUUGUCAAAAUUAACAUUUUGAUGAUUAUAGAUUUCUCUUCCCUAAAAUCUUUUGGGAAUUGCUAUGCUAUGUUGGUUAGAAGAGUGAAAGUGUAAGAUCCGAUCGGAGAAAUACUGGGAAUGCUCACCAAAAUGAUUCUAGAAUAUUGUGUAAAUGCUCAAUAGAAUAAGGGCUCUUGGAAUGAUGUUUCCCAAUAGCAUGAUCUCAGAGAGACUCCCCCCAUUCAUUAGCAGUUCCAGGGAUCUGUGUGUAUUGAGGGACAGAAGUGGUCCUUUCUGAACAACAGACCUCUAGGUAGUGACUACUCGUACUGUGGGUCUGAUCCUGGGAAUGCACAUAGCUUCCCCAGGACUGGUCAGGAAAGCAAGCUUGCUCAUGUUAAAUCCAAAAUAUUUAGGGCCAAAUUCUACUAUCCAAUGCAAUAGCAAAGUCCCAAUUAAUUUCACUGUGGGAAAGAUUAGACCCCUAGUGAACGGGAUUUUUUACAAUGCUACACUUCCUACUUUUUUUUUGCUUUAGAAAUUGUGAAUCCCGUGUGCUAAAAAAAUAACUCUAAAACCUCCCUGCCUCUAGUAGUCUAAUGAUAUUUCAUUAAUGGUAAAAAUUACACUAAAAGUUUAUAGCGGAACAUAAUAAGAAAUUACUUUAUAAAUAAGGGGGUUUAAUUGUACCAGUAUGAGCAUUUCCUAGGACAUUAUAGAAUGAGGUUUGUGGUAGCACCAGCUGUGCAUUAACAGCUAUUUUGGUGAGGGCAUAUUUAAUUAAUUCAGAAUGCUAAAUUUGUGUUUUAAAAUGGUUUUUGUAGUCUGCAUCCUGGUAGAAAAUUAAAUUAAAAAAUUAGCCCAGAAAUAAUUACUUGAACUUAGCCUUGUCUUUAAAGGCCAUAAUCCUAUGAAGAUUUAUAUCUCUGGUAAUUUUCUCCACUGGAGUAGCCUCGAAGGCUGCUGCCAUAGGUAAGUCUUUGUCACGCCAGGGCCCCCAGAGCAGCACAGGCAUUAAUGGCAGAGCAGACACUGGUGUGGCAGCGGCCCUGGUGCAGCGCAGGUGACGCUGUGAUACUGGCUGUCCCCCGCCCUGCCCGGGCCUUCCCAGAGUGGGGAGCUACCCCAAGGGCUGUGUCCCCGAGCACAAUGGGCACAUCAUGCCCCAUGGCGGGAGAGAGAGAACCAAGAGUAGUUCUGCUCCCUACUGUCCUGUGCAGGCAGGGUCACGGCCCUGCCUGGGUCUGCCCAUAACGUGAAGCGUUUCUCUGCUUAGCAGUACCCUAAAUCAAGUGAUAAGGACUGCCAUUGGAUUUCAGGUGCUCUUUCCAGAAAUACUUAAAUCUGUAGCCCUUAUAUAUGCAUAUAUCCCUGAAUGGAAUAUAUACACACACAUGCAGCCCUCUCUGAGGAGAGGCUAGAGCAUAGUAGAAAAGCCCCAUUCUCUCAGACCUGACAGAGGCACAACACCCACUCACCUCAGCAGGGACCAUGCUGUUGCAGUGCGUAUUUAUGACCUGUGUUCCUCUUGCUGCGGCAAAUUUGCCUAAAAUAAAUGCCCACAGUGUUGCAUGUAGAUAUGUACGGUUAUGCAGAUGUUUUUCCUAGGGCUCAAUUCUGCUUGCUUUCUGCUUUUAAGACUACAUAUGAUUUUGAGGGGAGUGUAGACUUUCUUCCCAUGACAAGUUAUUGUCUUUCGUGUUAAUUUAGGUGGCUUCUAGUGUUCAUAGGGUUUUCUUGAGGAAACUGAAAACAGUAAUAUCCACACAGCUCUACACAUACUUUGCAGCUGUAAGAAUAAGCUAACUAGCCUUUUUCUCUGCCUUUCUACAUCACACUAGCAGUAAUGUACACAACUGGAUUUUUAUGCAUUUUUUUAAAAUAAAUAAUGUCUUUAUGUACACAAAAGGCUUUUUCUUCUCUUCCUUUUAAUAGAUUACUAUUUUUCUGAAAAGUAUCGCCCCCAGGUAUUACCCGUAGCUGUUAUGACACCUCACCAUUUAGUGUUGUAAAGGUAAAUCAUAACACUCAUUAUUAAGAACCAUAAAUUUUUACCAGAAUCAUCAUCUACCUCCUGAAAGCUUUAAUGGUAGAAACAUUUCCUGGGCUAACGCCCAUGAUGAUUACAUGCUUUUUAUUGCUAUCAUUUAGUAACUGAAUUGCUCAAAAAUCAAAGGACUUGAUUAUCACAUACCUGCAAUGCAUAGAGCUAUUUAUAAAUGUUGGCUCGAUAAUAACAAUGACUCAAAAGAAAUUUAAAUGACAGGCCAAAAAUAAGUAGUUUAAAAGUGAAAAAACAAGCCAGAAUUCAUAGAGGUGAUGGAAAGAGUCUGACUUCAAAGGACAGAGAGGAUUUUGAGGAAGGUAAAGAGAAGAGUUCAGGAAGUAAUGGUAGAAGGGAGAUGUGACCCAGCUUUUCAGAGUCAGAGGGCAGAGGAGAGGUGAGGCACCAGGGACUGUAGGUGAGGAGAUAUCGCAGUGUGGCGCUGGAAGUAUGCACCAGAAAUGUUGAAACCAGGGCUGGAACAUCACACAUGUUUGGUAGUUUGCUUCCUGGAAAAACAGUAUCUAGUUAUAAGCAGCCAACAAAAAACUGGGUGAAAUGUUCCAGAAACUAGAGGCGGUUGAUUGAUGGGAAAAAUAAGAGCCCUGAAUAUAUAGCUGAAAGGCAGUUUAUAUGUAUAUUAAUAUACAUACCUAGCCAAAAUUACAUAAUAAUGCCCAUAUAGAUAAAUGAAAUGAGUAUCCUGCUUUUGAAAUUGUUCUUCUGCAAAAACCAGUGGGAAUUUUCCAUUGAUUUCAGGGGGUUCAGAAUUUCUCCUGUCUGCAGGAAAGCAGUGUAGCCUGGUGUGUGCAAAUAGACCUAGAAAUUAUGCACGGAUGCAGUGUGGCUAUCAAGAAACAUUUCCUUUCAGUGAACCCAAUACCCCUCUAGCCAAUGGGGAUGAUAUAAAGCAACAGAGAAAUCUUCAGGCAGGAAAGCUCUUGCCUGGGAGAUGUAAAAUUAACUUGGCCAAGACACAGCAGGCAGUAGUCACCCCACCAGGGAUGGAAAGCCAUCUGGGGAGGCCUCCUUGCCUCUGACUGUUGCAACUCAGCUCCACAGAGCUGAAAUGGCUCCGAUAAUUUUUCAACACUUUAUACCACUAGAAAGAAAGAGCUAGGCCCACAAGAGGUAACUUAUACUUUCCAAACUACUCAAGAGUAUUUCAGAUUAAGUAGAUCUUUUAUCUGCUUUGGGGUCAAUUGUCACCACCGUAUUGUUCUGUAUCAGCUCAUCUGAGUUGCACGCAGUGUACCCCCCUUUCACAUUAUUGCAUGAGGCAUGAAAUGUUGGAAAAACAUAGCUGACUUUAAUAUUAACAAUUGCUGAUUCAUAACCUUGUUUGGAAUAUUAGCGGUUCCCUUACUAAAUCAGGACAAUAUCACAACGUUUAUUUAUGAUCACAGGUCAAACCAAUCUUUUAAAUCACUGGAAAUCAAAGAUAAAGUGAUCAACAUGGGACUGGUCUUCUCUAAUUGGAGAAAGAGGAACAUUCUGAACCAGAACAGUACAGCAUGCAAUUGUGCAGCCUGUUACCAAAAAAAGAACCAUCUCACUGCAUCUUACAGAGGCAUUUACAUAGAUAAUGUAGAUUUCAUAUGACUACUUUUAGAUUAUCUGAUAGUAAUAGCUGUGCAAGUAUUCACAUUCUCCUAACAAGACGCUGAUAAAAAUUGAAAUAAAAAGGCAUCACUAAUUACUGCAUUAUUAAGGAUUUAUUUUAUUUCUUUAAUUUAGGUGGCAAAUAGUAAGAGCAGGGAGGGUUGAUGCACUAAUGCUUCCCACCAUCUGGAAACUCUUCCUUUAACAAUCGUUCUUCAGGAGAUAACUUACCUGGUUACUCCAAGAAAAAUGCAUUUUGUAUUACCUCUUCAUCAAGUUUCCAUGAAACAUUCUUCUGUUACACAGUUUAUUGCUUUCUGUUUUACUGGAGCAACUGUUAUUACAGUCUUGAUGCUCUGGUUGUUCAAAAUGACCGCUAUGGUAAAAACUGUUUCUUGUUCCCCUACUUUCCUCCGCUGCCUCACUGUCCUCCUUCCUGUUUACAACACAUGCAAAAGAUUUGAGGAGAUUGAAGGGAUUUUCUUUCUCAAUGUGUUUUAUUUUAGAAAUGUCAGGAUGAUUUAAUCUCCUAAUUUCUUCUUCUCAAUAUCUUGAACUAUAGAGGAGAGCAGUGGAAACUUUCUCAGACCUCAGUUUAAGAGGUGGUGAUUUUUCCAUUUUUAAGAAAAAGACCUUUUUCCCUGCAUGUUUGCGAGGGUAUGAGUUAUGCAGAACACAAUAACAUAAUUACUUUCAAGGUUUCAGUACAAUCCUUUUCUUUUUGACUGCUCAUUGUCCUUUUUUGUGUUGUGACAUCAUGUGGCUGUCGCACAUGUGAUAACAUAAAUCCAUUUGCCUUUGGUUGUUCAAAGAGCCCCUUGAUGAAAACUGGAUCUGCAAGUCCUGCUCUAUGAAGCAAGAGCCAAACCCACUCCCUUUUGCUCCUCUUGUUUAGAUGCUUGUCAUUUCUGUCUGUGUAAAUUCUUACCAGCAAAGCAGACAGGGCCAGUCCAGACCCUUAGUUAGAGAUGAACACAGACAUGUUUAAUUUUCUUUUGCUGGAGCUGCAGUGAGGCGGUGCUGCUCACUCUGCUCCAGCCUCCCUGGUACCGGGGGAUGAAAAACUCCAGCGAGGGAAAGGAUGCUGAAAUGGGCAUGAUGAGAAAUGCAAGGGAAACAAAUCAAAUAAAGAAAUCCACACACACAAUACCUAUCCGGAGUUUUCAGGUUUUAUUUUUUACCAAAUGCAACUCUAUUUUAAGUAUUCCAUGUUUCUUGGAUGCAAAACUUAAAUGUGUGCCCCAUAGAGAGGCUCAGAAGAGUAGCUCUGCUUUCUCUAAUAAAAUCUCUCUUCUGAGAUUAACACUGGAGCUAGCAGUGAGGUCAGUGUUUCAUUUCAUAUAAGUCAGCUCAUGCUGACAAGGGUCUGGCCUUCUUAGUGAUGGGCCAUUUGCUGCCCAGAAGUGUGAGGAAUGGCUUUCUGAAAUAUCGAUAGCUCACCUUCACUGGAUUUCAUGAUCAAAUUUAGCUGGCAAGUAUCAAUGGGCUACAGCCAGACUGCAGGGCUGAGAGGCUCAGGCUUGGGCCAGCCACUAAGGUCUGCUUCCUAAAUCAGAGGCUAACUCUUCCAUUAGUGCAAAUCAGUGGUUUAUAACGAUGUCAAAUGAGAUUUGUGUCAGAGUAGCCCAGACUACAGCCUGAUCUUGGGAUUUGAAAAGGAAUAGAAAAAUUAGGCUGCAACCAUUAGAAUUCCUUUUUCAUUUGGUUUUGUUGUGCAUAUUUUUAAAUGUGCCUAUACACAGAUGCAUACACGUGCAAAGCUGCAUUUUGUUCCCAAGGACUUUUCUUGUGGCCGCAUGGCUGCCAUUUAACAUGGACCUAAGAGCACAGAGCCUUCCUCCUGGUGUGGUUUGAUUGACAUGUGCAGAGAUCUCACAUAAAGGCUAUGGGAUCCCGCUUUUCAUCCAUAAAAGGAAAGCAGGCAAGCUUCAUCCCUGGCUAAACCCUUUGCACAAGAUACAUCAAUAAUGAGGCAGCAUCUAUUUAUACAUUGCUCACUGGAAAUGACUGAAUUCAGACAGAAGUUGGUGAGGCAGCCUGAGCUCCACCAGCCUCCAUGGAGUCUAUUGUUAGUACCCAGGAUGACUCCUCAGGCAAAUGGGGAAGAGAGGCACGAUUUGGAGCCUACCAUGCCAUGGGAGGAAUACCAGCUUCCACACUUGGCAGGUGGUGUCUCCUCUCAGAGAAUGCCUUUGCUGGCUCUGCCAGAACCCAGCAGUCAUGGAGGAGGAAUGCAGGAGAAAUGGUCACAAGAGCGCAGCCCCGUUGCUGCUUCCCGGGAAGCUGAAUGCUGACUUCGGUUUACCCACAGCAUGAGAGCUCCCUGCCUUUCUUCAUGAGAAAAGGAGAUGUCCAAGAGGGAACGGGAGGAAGGCAGUUCUACCUUGAUACACUCUGGUGCUGUCUUGCCAUACGGUUGCAGAAGAUUUUCAACAAUAUUUCUUUACCUAGAAAAAGAAAGAUGCAGUAAAAAAGCCCGCUCCAGCGUUAUGGCGUUGGUUAGGAUCUGAGUAGAUUCAGACUGCCUCCUCUGGGAGCACUGAUUCAUUUUCCUUCCCUUCUUCCCCUCCCUACAGCCUAAGUUUCCUGGACUAGUCCACCUUCCUUCCUCGCCAAAUGACUCAUGGAAAGCUGUAGAUCUUCAGUCUGUGGAGACAAUCUAACAUCAGCAACUUUCUGGGGGUGCUGCUACAAGGUGAGCCUUGGACUCUGCCUACUGUCUGUGCUUCCAGAUGACAGCCCCACGAUGGCAGAUGGAGGGACAUCCACUCCUCCCAUGCACUGCACUGCGUGUUUGCUGCUCUCAGAGCUGCCAUACGCCACGGGACCUCCAGCUGCCGGAUGCCUGACCCAGCUCGACUGCUGCUGGAGACGUGUUGGGGCUGGCUCGUCCCUGCUUGCUGCUGCCUGCCUGCCUUAUUCUUCUGAGUUAUGCCCCAGCCCACUCCUGUCCUGUUGUGCUAGUGCCUCCAGGCUGUAUUGAGUUUUCAAUUACCACAAUAUACAGUGCAGAUGCUAUGUAAAACAGCCAGCGUGGCUGAGCACGCUGAACUCAGUAGAAACACAGUUAAAUAAAAGUACUGCUAUAAUACCAGGAGGCUGAUUGGAACCACAAGAUACCAGUGUCAUAUCCUGUGGCUUUUAUGUUGGUAGAUGUAGAUUUCAGCCAUUGGAGUCUAGCUAUCCAACAGACACCCAGAUACAUUUCCUUUAGUUGUUAUCUUCAGUUGUGAGUAACUGAUACACAUUUGCCAAUAAAUGCAGAACCUGGUAAACUGCAGAAGAAAAAAAAAUAACAUCUGAGAUACCUACAAAUAUAUCCAGGCAUGUACUAUGGGGUAGCAUCUAACAGUGUGCAACUUAAAGAAACUCUCUGGUACACACAAUAUGUUUAAAGUGGUACAUCAAGAGAUCUCUGACUCCAGAGAACCAAUGUGUGUUUACAUUGUCAACUCCAAAUUCAGGCAAGGAAAUAAACAGCAAGUGUAGGUCUCCACUUCUGUAUUUGUACAAGCAGUAACAAGCUCCCAGACGAUAACGAUAUCAUGAUAUCUAUGUGGGGAUAAAAUACUAUGACAAAAGAGGAAGAAAUAAGCAAUAAAUGCAAUAAUGUCAAAUUUUUCUGUUAUUAACUUCUAGAAAAGCUUAAUGGCUAGAAUUUUAAAAUGUUUUAUGUAGAAAAAUAUAAAGAGAACAACACAUUAAGUGUGUUUUUCCCAAAGAAAAAUGAAAUUGGCAUACAGAGAAAAUGAUUAUAUUUAGUACUCUCAGGGCAAAUUCUAGUUAAGGACUGUGAAAUAAUUUGAAAAUAUUAAUGAUUUAGCCUCAUAGCUAGCUUUCAGGUAGAUAAUAAUGCUAAUUAUUACUAUAAAUAAAUACUAUUAUUAUCAUUCUUGCUCAGAAGAAUAUUGAUGCAUAGAGAAUUAUGUAUUUGUCCAAAGUCUGUUUUACUACUGUAACCAUCCUUCUCAAGAACUGUUAUAUAUUAAGAUCAUCCUUUUCCAAGUACUCUUUGAUAUACUAUUCAGUUUAUCAGCUCUAAAAACCAACCAACCAAGCUGCCUUGUGAAACAGUGCCAGUGAACGUCUCCAUUUGCAUGUGAAUUCUCAAGCAGCAACAAUCCUGCUUCAAAAAAAAAAAAAAAAAGAAGAGAAAAGGAAUCACGAAAAUCAGUACAAAAUCUGUCAAGGCCCCAUCUGUGACUGGGUAUCAGAAUAUCACUAAGAAGCUCUAAGGAACAAAGUUCAUUCCAAGUCUAACACAUAGUGCUUUUUGGUCGAUGAAAUUAAUUCAAGCAGGGAGAAAUGAGAGCGCAUACAAUGAAAAACUCUGUUCCUCCACUGAGGAUCGAAGGGAAGAAGCAUCACUGCUGUGUGUGUGGUCUUGGUUUUGGUGCACAUAGCCAUGCAUAAACACUAAAAUAAUCAGUGUGCUUGUGUCUCCUUUUGAUAGCCAGGUAUGCCUGCUGCUCCUCUGAGGAGUGCCAGGGAAUGAAUGACCUCUGGUCCUGACAAGGUGAGGACUUUGAUUACGUACAAUUGUUGCAAAAAGCAAGAUUUACAGCCAGCUACCUGAAGCAGUAUGGAGACAAAAUGAUAGACUCCACCCUGGCCUUGGAAAAUCCCUCUACAAACAUGUUUAUUUCCUUCUGAAUGGGAAUAUAUAAAGGCUGGGGACACUUAUUUGUAAGCUAUUUAUAUAUCUCCUCAUCAGGAUCUGAAUCUUGCAUAUUAAUGAAACAGGAAACAGGGAAACCAAACAUUAACACCAUUCUAAUGCAGCAUACUAUUUUUCUUUCCCUUUUUUUAACUGUUAGAGUAUGCAAAUGUUCAGUUAACUGGUCCUCAUGUUUUCUCUUUAUUGAAUUGCUUUCACUAUGGCAAAUAAAUAUUCAUAAAGAAAUGUGGACAAUAAAUCAUUUCAAAUAGUUCAAAGCCAUUUUCUUUCUAGACUGCAUAUAUUUUCAGCUGUAACUCGCCUUUAAUAUUUCAUUCAAAAGACAGACUUGUAGAAGGACAAUAGAGAUAAUGUGUCAAGUAGUAAUUAAAACAGGGGGUAAUGAUUAAAACCAUUUUAAUCUACAUUGUGCUCUGCCAAAUUCAUAAUCUUCUGUGUUUGUUAGGAUGACUUUCUACUUGCUUUAUACAGAAACUCAAAAUAAACUUCUGUUUGAAGACACUGCAGAAAACAAAAGAUUUCAACCUUGAGCUUGUGGGGUCCAGAGCUCUUCCCAGCUCUGGAGUUUAGGUGUAUCUUCUGUACCAUCCUAGCAAGAUAAACUCAAGCAGGCACUGUCGUUCCUGCUAAUAUUGUGACUUCUCCGGGAAGCAGAUCCAGAUGCAGAGCAGAAGACAAGGAAGGGCCACCCCAGCAUGUACAGGUAAAUGUAACCUGUCUCACCAUUUAGAUUUAAGCUAAGAGCUUCAAAAGAAAUGAAAAUUAAAGAUCUGGCUAACUUAUACAUUUAGGGAUCUUAGUUCAAAUCCAAGUAAUAAUUAUGUUCCUUGUCUCAUUGUAUGUUUUAGCUGUUAAUACACAUAUUUGGCCCAAAUUCAUUAUCUUUCCUGAUAUGUUGCUGACUUUAGGCUCUGAUUCAACAGAGCACUUACAUACAGACUUAAAUAAAUUGAUUUAGGAAAGCA